GGAAAACCGGCUCUGAGCCAAGGCAGAGUCCAGGGAGAUCCGGGCUCGCCCACUAACGUCUUAGGACUUCAUCCUCAGUAAAAACCAAUCAUUGCUCUUGUCCACCUACCAAACAGGGAUUUUUCUGAGGCCCGAAUAAUGUGACAUUUGUGUAAAACACAUGCUUUUUGAUCUGUAAGGUGUGGUACAAAUGCCAGUCACAAGCAUGGCUCCUCUCAAAAACAAACCUCUGACCUAAACUGGAGUCCACAUUUGGUUCUGGUGCCGGGGCACAAGCCUCCCCCAGCUCUGGCACUCUCUGCUGGGACUGGGGUGUGCACUCCUCACUCAGCUUCCUUCCUCCCCUCAGGCCCCUGUCCCCGAGGCCACUUCUGCCCCAGGGGAACCAGCCUCCCACAGCCCUGCCCUGCCGGCUCCUACAGCUACCUGACUGGCCAGGCCUCCUGCUUCCCUUGCCCCACUGGCUACUACUGCCCCGAGAAUGUCACCAACUACAGCAGGCACCCCUGUCCCGCUGGCUUCUACUGCCCCGAGGCACGAAGUACGCCACCCAGUUCCCCUGCCCUCGGAGCUACUAUGACCCAGACCCACUGACCCAGAGCCUGGACAGCUGCCUGCCCUGUCCCCCAGGCCGCUACUGCGGGUAGGAGAACCUGACCCGGGCUUCUGGGCCUUGUGCGGCAGGAUGGUUCUGUGUGUCUGCGGCAUGGACCGCCCGCCCCUUCGACCUGGACAACUACACCAGCACCAAUUGCCUGUGCCCAGCCACGGCCACAGGGGGAAAGUGCCCUGCUGGCUCCUACUGUCCAGAGGGCAGCCCAGAGCCCAUGCCCUGCCCACCAGGCUCUUUCUGUGGCACCUCUGGCACCCCGGCCACCCAGGCCUGCCCCUCUGGCCACUACUGCCCUGGAGGAAGUGAGACCCACUCGGGAGCUCCCCAGGCCUGCCCUGAGCAUACCUACCUGGCAACAGAUGGAGGCCAUAGUCAGGCGGAGUGCCUCCCCUGCCCUGCUGUGUACCACUGCCCAUGGCCAGGUAAG
rnacentral:lncRNA from 1 species